ACACGCCAGCUAAUAGAUCCAAACAUGUACUGGUUUUCUAUUCCAAGUAUUGGUCCAAUCUUGAAAGGACUAUCCCAGGGGAGGAAGGAAGUUCUUUCAUUACUGAACCGUCGGAAGUACAAGGAGAUGCUAGUGUCUUCACUGGAGAAGACGAGGUUGAGGUCAUCGCCUCUAGACGUGCGGUUCCACCUCCGCGAUCUUAUCGGGUCUGGUCACAUAAAGACGGUUCAGACACCCACCGGCUUACUUGCUCGUGUAUCAACAGAUUGAUAAUCAAACAGUUUCGGAUCAAUUAUUCUUAGUUUCUCUUCCUUGCUGGGUACUACCCAGAUUCUGUGCUUCUGAUUAUGUUUUAUGUUAUGGCGAUUUUGGCUUCUUUUGACGUCAGGAGUACUUGGAGCUAUCUUAUUGGUUCCUUCUUUUUUUCUUUUUCUGUGAGAGGUAUUCUUGAUCUGAUUAAUGUGCCUAAGUUUGAAAUUAAGGAGCUGAAGUUGGUGUGCGUGCA